AGCUCCGGUGGCCUAGUGGUUAGAGCAUCUGCCUCAGAUGCAGGAGGUCAUGGGUUUGAUCCCCAUUCAAGUCA